rnacentral:rRNA from 1 species
UACGUAGGGUGCAAGCGUUGUCCGGAAUUAUUGGGCGUAAAGAGCUCGUAGGCGACCUGUCGCGUCCGCUGUGAAAUCCCGGGCUUAACCCCGGGCCUGCAGUGGAUACGGGCAGGCUGGAGGCAGGCAGGGGAGAACGGAAUUCCCGGUGUAGCGGUGAAAUGCGUAGAUAUCGGUAGGAACACCAGUGGCGAAGGCGGAUCGUCCUGGACGCAGG